rnacentral:ncRNA from 1 species
UGUACAGAUUGAUUAAAAGGGAAUCAGGUGGAAAUCCUGGACAGUCCCGCUGCUGUGAGUUUCAUUAUGUAAGUCUUUCAUUAUUUGAGUCACUGGAUAAAGGAUUAUCGGGGAAGACAUUGGAAGAUGGAAACGAGUCAGAAGACCUGCCAUGCAUAG